rnacentral:misc_RNA from 1 species
AACAACAACCGACGGAGGAAGAAGAAAGCUUGCCUAUUGUCUGAUCAUGGCUGCUCAACAUCAUCCAUUUCUUGAUUCGCCAUCUUCCCAUCAGAUUAUUGGUUCUUUUUUUUCUUCUUCAUUCUCUAUAUGAUGAUCAAUGGAUUUGUUUUUUUCAUUCUUUAAUCUUUAUUCAUCUCAUUCAUUUUCUUUCCAUCUGACUAAAUACAUUUCUCAGUUUUCUUGUGGUUCAUCUGAUCAGACAAGUUCAUCAGUUUAUUCUUUUAAUUUUUUUUAAUCAUCAGACUUGUUUUUGAAGAAUUUUGAAGUUUCUGUACAAGAUAUAUCUAUCAUCAUCAUGUUUAGUGCUGCAAUAUUAGUUUUGGUUUUCUUGUCGACUAAAGAAUUAUCCAUUUUUAAUCUAAUGCUUGAAGCACUGCGUAUUGAUGGUUCUGCUUCACUACCGUUGGAUCUACUUCUGACCACGAAUAGAAGAAAUAGGCGAUCCUCUGUGAAAUCCAUUAAUGCAGGAGGAUUAAUACACCAUGAUUUGGUAGAGGCUCCUAGAGCUGGGAUAAUUGACAAGGAUGAUGAGAAAGCUUCUUCAAUAGCAAUUAUUGAAGCAGCUCUUAUAAAAUUGAGAAAUGAUAUUGCCAUUGCUUUCAGGGUGUUUAGCCUGGACAAGAGGAACUUGAACUUGAAAACAUUCACGUUCUUUGAUGCUGUGGAGGAACACUAUAAAUGUUUUUCCAGAUUUUCUGACAAGAAGCAAAGGGCUAUUCUCUUCCUAUGGUGGGAUGACAAGCCAAAGAAAAAGAUGAGUCUCCAGAAACAGGAGCCAAGAGUAGUCCAAUUGUUCAAAUAGACACUUUGUUCGCAGGAAUUGAUGGUGGGCUUGUCAAGGGUGCAUUGGCAAAUAUGGAUACCCUUUUCCACAUGUAAUGAUGUAGAGUCAGGGAGCACAGAGCAAAGAAAAGGCUACAAUUACUGUGGCCGUGUGCUCCUCCAAGAUUCAACAUUCUUGCAUUUGUGGUGACAGAUACUCGAGAGUUCCCCUAUGAAACUUCAUUUGUGUGAUCAUUGGAUUGGAGGCUGCAUUUCGGCCUAUCAAUCUCUUACAUAUCUCAAUUUCUGUUGUUAUUAUUAUUAUUAUUAU